ACCUACGGGACGCAGCAGUGGGGGAUAUUGCACAAUGGGGGGGAACCCUGAUGCAGCGACGCCGCGUGGGCGAUGGAGUGCUUCGGCAUGUAAAGCCCUAUCAGCAGGGAAGAAAAUGACGGUACCUGACUAAGAAGCCCUGGCUAAAUACGGGCCAGCAGCCGCGGUAAUACGUAUGGGGCAAGCGUUAUCCGGAUUUACUGGGUGUAAAGGGAGCGUAGACGGCGAUGCGAGUCUGAAGUGAAAGGCGGGGGCCCCACCCCCGGACUGCUUUGGAAACUGUAUAGCUGGAGUGCAGGAGAGGG
rnacentral:rRNA from 1 species